rfam:Hypholoma sublateritium FD-334 SS-4 unplaced genomic scaffold scaffold_160, whole genome shotgun sequence.
GCCCGCCUAGCUCAAUCGGAUAGAGCGUCAGACUCUUAGGCGGGUCUUCUCCCUUCGAUAUCUGAAGGCUGCGAGUUCGACCCUCGCGGUGGGCU